rnacentral:rRNA from 1 species
CAGCGCCACGGGUGGGGGUCGCGAUUAUUGGGCCUAAAGCGUCCGUAGCCGGCUUUGUAAAUCUUUUGUGAAAUCGUUGGGCUUAACUCAACGGUGUGCAGAGGACACUGCAAAGCUCGAGACAGGGAGGGGCUAGAGGUAUUUUGUGGGGAGCGGUAAAAUGCUAUAAUCCACAGAGGACCACCGAUGGCGAAGGCAUCUAGCCAGAACUGAUCUGACGGUGAGGGACGAAAGCUAGGGGAGCGAACCGGAUUAGAUACCCGAGUAGUCC